GACGAACGCUGGCGGCGUGCUUAACACAUGCAAGUCGAACGAAGAGCGAUGGAAGCUUGCUUCUAUCAAUCUUAGUGGCGAACGGGUGAGUAACGCGUAAUCAACCUGCCCUUCAGAGGGGGACAACAGUUGGAAACGACUGCUAAUACCGCAUACGAUCUAAUCUCGGCAUCGAGGAUAGAUGAAAGGUGGCCUCUACAUGUAAGCUAUCACUGAAGGAGGGGAUUGCGUCUGAUUAGCUAGUUGGAGGGGUAACGGCCCACCAAGGCGAUGAUCAGUAGCCGGUCUGAGAGGAUGAACGGCACAUUGGGACUGAGACACGGCCCAGACUCCUACGGGAGGCAGCAGUGGGGAAUCUUCCGCAAUGGACGAAAGUCUGACGGAGCAACGCCGCGUGAGUGAUGACGGCCUUCGGGUUGUAAAGCUCUGUUAAUCGGGACGAAAGGCCUUCUUGCGAAUAGUGAGAAGGAUUGACGGUACCGGAAUAGAAAGCCACGGCUAACUACGUG
rnacentral:rRNA from 1 species